UUUCCUCCAUCUCUUUCUUUUCAGGUGUUUUGUGUUGUCGCGCGCGUUUUCAUCGCGUCUUCGGUUCGCGUCUUCCACUAUUCGAUCGUUAUGUCGCAUAGCGUACCGUAGACUCGUGCAAUAAAAUUACCUUUAUUGAUCAUGCAGCAGUUUUCGAAUCUAUUCUUAGACUACAAUUUUGCAAUUACUCGAUUUCUUCUCGUAAA